UCCAGACUGCAGACUGGAGACUCUCAGGAUCAGAGGAGAGACAAUCAGAGCCAAGAUCCAGAAGAACUGUCCGGGGGGGGUUACCUGUUGACCCGUGUCCGUCUCCACAAGUGUCCGCAGGCAUCCCCUAAUACUGCGGUUGGGGGGAUGACGUUCUGUAAUCAAAGCACUGUUGUCUUUGAAACGCUCUCAAAGUCUUUGAUGACAAAGUCAGAAAAAUGACAAGAAGAAAUAUUUUGAAACUCUUGGACUUUGUGUUUUUCACCCCAGGUUAAUUAAUGUCCAAUCAAAUGUUUCCUUUGAUUUCUAAAAGGAGCUCUGCCUGGUGCCAUUGAAAUGGUGGUAUUUGGGUUGAUGUGCAUGUAGUCUGUAUGAAGUGUAAUCAGAUAUAACCUUUAAGAUGUGUUGUGAUAUCUCUAAAAGGAAUGAUAGCUGUGCAGAGAGUGGAUUCAGAUACUGUUGACAGGGGUCUAUGUGCAGGUGAAGAACUGACCCUGGGUCAGCAGAGUUCCUGCAGUGGACAUGCUUUAGAUGUCCUGCUGAUGUGGAGACACCUCGUACAGGAAAGAGUUUUGAUGGUUUCUCUGUUCUCCAUUAUAAGGUAACUCACUGCAGGCUGCUCUCUCUUUAGGACGGACGAUGUUCACAUUAAAGAUCUGUAUAUAAAUACAAUAUAAAUUAUAUCUCCUGUACAUAUCCAGGCUGAGUGGACAGUCUGACUCCGGUCUGACAGUCAUGUUGAGAACAGCUCGACUUAUACUUAAUAAGUCUUAAUAACAACUUAAUAACCUUCACCCAUUGUCCCUGCAAGUGUUUUACCUGCCGACACGCCCACCAAAGGUAAUCAAUGAUUUAGAAGCUGCAGCUGAUCUGAGGCCAGUCCCUGCAGCUCCACAGCCAGUGAAGACAGAUAAAACUCAACAUCACUCAUCAGUAGGGAUGUAACGAUGCAUCGUGAACCGGUAAAAAAUCGGUACAGAUGCGUUAAGAUUAAAACCGGUUGAGCUAAAAAAUUAAUCGUGAUGCAAUUUUUUUUAACGGCACAGGUUGUGAACUAAUUUUGAUUUGAUUUGAUUCGCUGGAACAGCAGUCUGGACAUGAUUGAACGCUAUCUAGAACAACAACUUGCUGUGGCAGUUGCUCUCCUCAGUGCAGACGUCUGUCGAAAUGCCCGUGAAAUCGACACACUGGAUAACAUCCGUGAUGCCGAGGACCAGGGGUGUAGAGCUGCCGGACCACACCGGAACGUCGCUCGGCACUUCAAACAUUGCAGUACCCAUAAGGAGCCGUACACAUGCAGCAGUUUUUGCGUGGUUGUGUCUUUAGUUUAAAGCCCAGUGGCGAUCUGUCAUACUGAUCAUACAAUAAGCCAUCGAAAAUAAUAUGAUACAGUACAAGUACUUAUGGGUCUCUGUGUUUCAUUCAAGCUCGGCUCUGUGUGAGUGCGCGAUUGUU